GUCCACACUGUAACGAUGAUUACUAGGUGUUGGAGGAUUGACCCCUUCAGUGCCGCAGUUAACACAAUAAGUAAUCCACCUGGGAGUACGACCGCAAGGUUGAACUCAAGGAAUUGACGGGGCCCGCACAAGCAGUGGAGUAUGUGGUUUAAUUCGACGCAACGCGAAGAACCUUACCAAGUCUUGACAUCCUGCGACGGACAUAGAAUAUGUUUUCCUUCGGGACGCAGAGACAGGUGGUGCAUGGUUGUCGU
rnacentral:rRNA from 1 species